rnacentral:rRNA from 1 species
GAUGAACGCUGGCGGCGUGCCUAAUACAUGCAAGUCGAGCGAACAGACGAGGAGCUUGCUCCUUUGACGUUAGCGGCGGACGGGUGAGUAACACGUGGGUAACCUACCUAUAAGACUGGGAUAACUUCGGGAAACCGGAGCUAAUACCGGAUAAUAUUUCGAACCGCAUGGUUCGAUAGUGAAAGAUGGCUUUGCUAUCACUUAUAGAUGGACCUGCGCCGUAUUAGCUAGUUGGUAAGGUAACGGCUUACCAAGGCAACGAUACGUAGCCGACCUGAGAGGGUGAUCGGCCACACAGGAACUGAGACACGGUCCAGACUCCUACGGGAGGCAGCAGUAGGGAAUCUUCCGCAAUGGGCGAAAGCCUGACGGAGCAACGCCGCGUGAGUGAUGAAGGUCUUCGGAUCGUAAAACUCUGUUAUUAGGGAAGAACAAACGUGUAAGUAACUGUGCACGUCUUGACGGUACCUAAUCAGAAAGCCACGGCUAACUACGUG